rnacentral:rRNA from 1 species
AUUAACGCUGGCGGCGUGCCUAAUACAUGCAAGUCGAGCGAACGGACGAGAAGCUUGCUUCUCUGAUGUUAGCGGCGGACGGGUGAGUAACACGUGGAUAACCUACCUAUAAGACUGGGAUAACUUCGGGAAACCGGAGCUAAUACCGGAUAAUAUUUUGAACCGCAUGGUUCAAAAGUGAAAGACGGUCUUGCUGUCACUUAUAGAUGGAUCCGCGCUGCAUUAGCUAGUUGGUAAGGUAACGGCUUACCAAGGCAACGAUGCAUAGCCGACCUGAGAGGGUGAUCGGCCACACUGGAACUGAGACACGGUCCAGACUCCUACGGGAGGCAGCAGUAGGGAAUCUUCCGCAAUGGGCGAAAGCCUGACGGAGCAACGCCGCGUGAGUGAUGAAGGUCUUCGGAUCGUAAAACUCUGUUAUUAGGGAAGAACAUAUGUGUAAGUAACUGUGCACAUCUUGACGGUACCUAAUCAGAAAGCCACGGCUAACUACGUG